rnacentral:lncRNA from 1 species
UGGGAAGAAGCUGGAGAGAGGGAGGUCAGGAAGAGAACAUGGAGUCAGGAAGAGAUGGAGAGGGAAAACGAUGUGACACGCCACCAACUUACCACGUUUGCACAUUCGCCAGCUGCUGUGACAGGACUCUCACGGACGGACGGCGCUCAGCCCAUCGGUCAGGCCUGACUCUCAGACACAGCGACAGAUUAAGAAAUCUAUUUCACCGUUCAUUGUAAUAAGAGGAAUUGAAAAUCUAUCUGUGAUGGGAGCAUGGUGGUUUUAUUUAUUUUAACAGUUAAAAAGCAUGAAAGACACCUGAUGCAAAGAGUAUGGGGCGCAGUGGAAAUGACCACAGUGUGAGUGAUUAUUGUGCCUUUUUCUCUAUGGUUGUGUGUCCUUGCUGAAUGAGUCCCAGGUGCAGGCACCGUUGGGAGCACUUUGCUUACACAAUCC